rnacentral:rRNA from 1 species
GGGUGCUCAGGGUGACAUGUUUAACAUAUGAAGCCCCGGGGAGCCGCAGUGAAUUGGUGGUGGCGACUGUUUACUAAAAACAUAGGUCUGUGCGAAGUCCUAAAGACGACGUAUACGGACUGACGCCUGCCCGGUGCUGGAAGGUUAAAAGGAGGGGUCAGCGCAAGCAAAGCUCCGAAUUGAAGCCCCAGUAAACGGCGGCCGUAACUAUAACGGUCCUAAGGUAGCGAAAUUCCUUGUCGGGUAAGUUCCGACCUGCACGAAUGGCGUAACGAUCUCCACACUGUCUCGGCCAGAGACUCGGUGAAAUUGCAGUCGCGGUGAAAAUUCCGUGUACCCGCAGAAAGACGGAAAGACCCUGUGCACCUUUACUAUAGCUUGACAUUGGAUUUUGGGCCUGCAUGUGUAGGAUAGGUGGGAGGCUGUGAACCCUGUACGCCAGUAUGGGGGGAGCCAUCCUUGAAAUACCACCCUUCGCAUGUUUAAGAUCCUAACUUCUUCCGGUUAUCCCGGAGAAAGACAGUGUCUGGCGGGUAGUUUGACUGGGGCGGUCGCCUCCUAAAGUGUAACGGAGGCAUGCAAAGGUUCCCUCAGCCUGAUCGGAAACCAGGCGCUGAGUGCAAACGCAUAAGGGAGCUUGACUGUAAGAGAGACAUCUCGAACAGGAACGAAAGUUGGCGUUAGUGAUCCGGUGGUCCCGAAUGGAAGGGCCAUCGCUCAUUGGAUAAAAGGUACGCCGGGGAUAACAGGCUGAUCGCAUCCAAGAGUUCACAUCGACGAUGCGGUUUGGCACCUCGAUGUCGGCUCAUCACAUCCUGGGGCUGAAGCAGGUCCCAAGGGUACGGCUGUUCGCCGUUUAAAGUGGUACGCGAGCUGGGUUUAAAACGUCGUGAGACAGUUUGGUCCCUAUCUUCUGUGGGCGAAGGAGAAUUGAGAGGGCCUGUCCCUAGUACGAGAGGACCGGGAUGGACGCACCCCUGGUGAUCCUGUUGUCGCGCCAGCGGCAUAGCAGGGUAGCUAUGUGCGGAAGGGAUAACCGCUGAAAGCAUCUAAGCGGGAAGCCUGCCUCAAGAUAAGUUCUCCCCUCGAAAGAGCUGAAGGGCCCGGGUAGACUACCCGGUCGAUAGGCUGGAGGUGUAAGCGCGGCGACGUGCUCAGCUGACCAGUACUAAUAGCCCGAGCGGCUUAUUUUU